rnacentral:rRNA from 1 species
CCCUUAGAUGUUCUGAACUGCGCGCGCUACACGCAUGCGCUCCAAGAGCUCACGACCUUGUCCGAGAAGAUUGGGUAAUUUCGGGAAAUGCAUCGCGACGGGGAUAUUGCGAUUGUUCUCUGCGACGAAGAGUUCCUAGUAGGCGCGAGUCAUCAGCUCGUGCUGGUUACGCCCCUGCCCUUUGCACACACUGCCUGUCGCUCCUAACGAUUGAACGAUUCGGCGACCACUUCGGACUGCGGCAACGCUUGGACGCCAACGUAAACCUCGCCACUUAGAGGAAGGACAAGUCGCAACA